rnacentral:rRNA from 1 species
UACGGAGGGCGCAAGCGUUGUUCGGACUCACUGGGCGUAAAGCGCGUGUCGGCGGCUUUGCAAGUCGGGUGUGAAAUCCCGAGGCUCAACCUCGGAACUGCACUCGAUACUGCUUGGCUCGAGUCCCGGAGAGGGAGGCGGAAUUCCCGGUGUAGGGGUGAAAUCCGUAGAUAUCGGGAGGAACAUCAGUGGCGAAGGCGGCCAACUGGACGGUGACUGACGCUGAGAUGCGAAAGCGUGGGGAGCAAACAGG